GGAUUCAUGAUGACACACCAAAAACAUUCCUUGGAAAAGCUGAAGAAAUGAGUGAAAACUCCAAACUGUUGUUGUCUUCGCUUCUGCAUUCC
ensembl:snoRNA SNORD116 Small nucleolar RNA SNORD116